GACGAACGCUGGCGGCGUGCUUAACACAUGCAAGUCGAACGGUAAGGCCCUUCGGGGUACACGAGUGGCGAACGGGUGAGUAACACGUGGGUGAUCUGCCCUGCACUUUGGGAUAAGCCUGGGAAACUGGGUCUAAUACCGGAUAGGACCACGGCCUGCAUGGGUUGUGGUGGAAAGCUUUUGCGGUGUGGGAUGGGCCCGCGGCCUAUCAGCUUGUUGGUGGGGUGAUGGCCUACCAAGGCGACGACGGGUAGCCGGCCAGAGAGGGUGUCCGGCCACACUGGGACUGAGAUACGGCCCAGACUCCUACGGGAGGCAGCAGUGGGGAAUAUUGCACAAUGGGCGCAAGCCUGAUGCAGCGACGCCGCGUGGGGGAUGACGGCCUUCGGGUUGUAAACCUCUUUCACCAGGGACGAAGCGCAAGUGACGGUACCUGGAGAAGAAGCACUGGCCAACUACGUGCCAGCCGCCGCAGUAA
rnacentral:rRNA from 1 species